AACGAACGCUGGCGGCAUGCCUAACACAUGCAAGUCGAACGAACCCUUCGGGGUUAGUGGCGCACGGGUGCGUAACGCGUGGGAAUCUGCCCUUUGCUUCGGAAUAACUCAGGGAAACUUGUGCUAAUACCGGAUGAUGUCUUCGGACCAAAGAUUUAUCGGCAAGGGAUGAGCCCGCGUAGGAUUAGGUAGUUGGUGGGGUAAAGGCCUACCAAGCCGACGAUCCUUAGCUGGUCUGAGAGGAUGAUCAGCCACACUGGGACUGAGACACGGCCCAGACUCCUACGGGAGGCAGCAGUGGGGAAUAUUGGACAAUGGGCGCAAGCCUGAUCCAGCAAUGCCGCGUGAGUGAUGAAGGCCCUCGGGUCGUAAAGCUCUUUUACCAGGGAUGAUAAUGACAGUACCUGGAAAAUAAGCUCCGGCUAACUCCGUG
rnacentral:rRNA from 1 species